rnacentral:rRNA from 1 species
GACGAACGCUGGCGGCGUGCCUAAUACAUGCAAGUAGAACGCUGAAGGAGGAGCUUGCUCUUCUGGAUGAGUUGCGAACGGGUGAGUAACGCGUAGGUAACCUGCCUGGUAGCGGGGGAUAACUAUUGGAAACGAUAGCUAAUACCGCAUAACAGUAGAUGUUGCAUGACAUUUGCUUAAAAGGUGCAAUUGCACCACUACCAGAUGGACCUGCGUUGUAUUAGCUAGUUGGUGGGGUAACGGCUCACCAAGGCGACGAUACAUAGCCGACCUGAGAGGGUGAUCGGCCACACUGGGACUGUGACACGGCCCAGACUCCUACGGGAGGCAGCAGUAGGGAAUCUUCGGCAAUAGACGGAAGUCUGACCGAGCAACGCCGCGUGAGUGAAGAAGGUUUUCGGAUCGUAAAGCUCUGUUGUAAGAGAAGAACGAGUGUGAGAGUGGAAAGUUCACACUGUGACGGUAUCUUACCAGAAAGGGACGGCUAACUACGUG